UUAAAGACAGGUAGCAAUACGCUGUAUAUUCGUGUAACCGAAUUAGCGUUUAAACGUCAUGUAAUGGCGUCGGUCACGAAGAAGCCACCCUUCUGGGUGGUUUUUGAUUU
rnacentral:sRNA from 1 species